rnacentral:rRNA from 1 species
GAUGAACGCUGGCGGCGUGCCUAAUACAUGCAAGUCGAGCGAACAGAUAAGGAGCUUGCUCCUUUGACGUUAGCGGCGGACGGGUGAGUAACACGUGGGUAACCUACCUAUAAGACUGGAAUAACUCCGGGAAACCGGGGCUAAUGCCGGAUAACAUUUAGAACCGCAUGGUUCUAAAGUGAAAGAUGGUUUUGCUAUCACUUAUAGAUGGACCCGCGCCGUAUUAGCUAGUUGGUAAGGUAACGGCUUACCAAGGCAACGAUACGUAGCCGACCUGAGAGGGUGAUCGGCCACACUGGAACUGAGACACGGUCCAGACUCCUACGGAAGGCAGCAGUAGGGAAUCUUCCGCAAUGGGCGAAAGCCUGACGGAGCAACGCCGCGUGAGUGAUGAAGGUCUUCGGAUCGUAAAACUCUGUUAUUAGGGAAGAACAAAUGUGUAAGUAACUGUGCACGUCUUGACGGUACCUAAUCAGAAAGCCACGGCUAACUACGUG